GCAGCAUUCUUACAUAGGUAUUCCUCGUGUCUGUGUCUUGUCUGUCUGUGUCUUGUCUGUCUGUGUCUUGUCUGUCUGUGUCUUGUCUGUCUGUGUCUUGUCUGUCUGUGUCUGUCUGUCUGUGUCUGUCUGUCUCUGUCUCUGUCUGUCUGUCUGUCUGUCUCUGUCUGUCUUUGUCUAUCUCUCUCUUGCUCUCUCUGUCUCUCUAUCUCUUGCUCUCUCUCCGUCUCUGUCACUCUCUCUCCGUCUCUCUCUCUGUGUCUGUUUCUCUCUCUCUCUGUGUCUGUUUCUCUCUCUCUCUCUGUGUCUGUCUCGCUCUCUCUGUGUCUGUCUCGCUCUCUCUGUGUCUCGCUCUCGCUCGCUCGCUCUGUCUUUCGCUCGCUCUCUGUCUAUCGCUCGCUCGCUCUCUGUCUUUCGCUCGCUCUCUGUCUUUCGCUCGCUCUCUGUCUUUCGCUCGCUCUCUGUCUUUCGCUCGCUCGCUCUCUGUCUUUCGCUCGCUCGCUCUCUGUCUUUCGCUCGCUCGCUCUCUGUCUUUCGCUCGCUCUCUGUCUUUCGCUCGCUCGCUCUCUGUCUUUCGCUCGCUCGCUCUGUCUUUCGCUCGCUCGCUCGCUCUGUCUUUCGCUCGCUCGCUCGCUCUGUCUUUCGCUCGCUCGCUCGCUCUGUCUUUCGCUCGCUCGCUCUGUCUCUUGCUCUGUCUCUCGCUCGGUCUCUCGCUCGCUCUGUCGCUCGGUCUGUCGCUCGGUCUCUCGCUCGCUCUGUCGCUCGGUCUCUCGCUCGCUCUGUCGCUCGGUCUCUCGCUCGCUCUGUCGCUCGCUCUGUCGCUCGGUCGCUCGCUCGCUCUGUCGCUCGGUCGCUCGCUCGCUCUGUCGCUCGGUCGCUCGCUCGCUCUGUCUUUCGCUCGCUCGCUCUGUCUUUCGCUCGCUCUCUUUCGCUCGCUCUCGCUCGCUCCCUCUCUUUUGCUCGCUCGCUCGCCCUCUGUCUUUCGCUCGCUCGCCCUCUGUCUUUCGCUCGCUCGCCCUCUGUCUUUCGCUCGCUCGCUCUCUGUCUUUCGCUCUCUCUUUGUCUGCCUCUCUUGCUCUGUCUCUUUGUCUCUCUUUGUCUGUCUGUCUGUCUGUCUGUCUGUCUUGCUCUGUCUCUUUGUCUCUCUUUGUCUGUCUCUCUCUCUCUGUCUCUUUGUCUCUGGAAAGUGUGUGGUUGUGUGUAUAUUUUGUGUGUCUGUUCUGUGUGUGCGUUCCCACUGUAGUGACCCCUCUUCAUUGUGACUGUCCCCACAGAGUAAUCCCUUCUGUUCCACCCCAGUGUCAACAUCCUGUCCCCAUAAGCCAUGCUUGUCUAACUCUGUCUCACCCUGUCCGGUUAAAACUACAUUCUGGGAUUUAA
ensembl:lncRNA